rnacentral:rRNA from 1 species
CCUACGGGGUGCAGCAGUGGGGAAUAUUGCGCAAUGGGCGAAAGCCUGACGCAGCGACGCCGCGUGAGGGAUGAAGGUCUUCGGAUCGUAAACCUCUGUCAGCAGGGAAGAACGGUCACUGUGCUAAUCAGCAGUGAAUUGACGGUACCUGCAAAGGAAGCACCGGCUAACUCCGUGCCAGCAGCCGCGGUAAUACGGAGGGUGCGAGCGUUAAUCGGAAUUACUGGGCGUAAAGCGCUCGUAGGCGGAUUUUUAAGUCAGCGGUAAAAUGUCCGGGCUCAACCCGGGCCGGCCGUUGAAACUGGGGAUCUUGAGUGGGCGAGAAGUAUGCGGAAUGCGUGGUGUAGCGGUGAAAUGCAUAGAUAUCACGCAGAACUCCGAUUGCGAAGGCAGCAUACCGGCGCCCGACUGACGCUGAGGCACGAAAGCGUGGGGAUCGAACAGGAUUAGAUACCCUUGUAGUC